rnacentral:rRNA from 1 species
UACGUAGGGUGCGAGCGUUAAUCGGAAUUACUGGGCGUAAAGGGUGCGCAGGCGGUUAUAUAAGACAGAUGUGAAAUCCCCGGGCUCAACCUGGGAACUGCGUUUGUGACUGUAUGACUAGAGUACGGUAGAGAGGGGUGGAAUUCCUGGUGUAGCAGUGAAAUGCGUAGAUAUCGAGAGGAACACCAGUGGCGAAGGCGGCUCACUGGCUCGGUACUGACGCUGAGGUGCGAAAGCGUGGGGAGCAAACAGG